rnacentral:lncRNA from 1 species
UCAAGCCUGUAAUCCUAGCACUUCAGGAGGCCGAGGGGCGGAUCACCUGAGGUCAGGAGUUUGAGACCAGCCGGGCCAACAUGGUGAAACUCCGUCUCUACUAAAAAUACAAAAAUUAGCCAGGCGUGGUGGUGGGCACUUGUAAUCCCAGCUACUCUGGAGGCUGAGGCAGGAGAAUCGCUUGAACCCAGGCGGGGCGGAGGUUGCAGUGAGCUGAGAUCGCGUCAUUGCACUCCAGCCUAAGUGACAAGAGCAAGACUCCAUCUCCAAAAAAAAAAAAAAAAAAAAGGUGGUGGGUGGGCUAUGGAUAGUUCUUCCAGGGGCAGGAAGGCACUGGUGGGAGUGAGUGCCUCAGCUGAUCAGGCGUUCUUAUGCGUCAGGGAUGUGUUUUAUGAGGUGCUGCGAGAGUGGGAAGAUCACCAUGAGGAGCCUGGCUGGGAUUUUGAGAAGGGCUUGGGCAGCAGAAUCAGGGCCAUGAUGGGUCAGCUCUC